AACGAACGCUGGCGGCAUGCCUAACACAUGCAAGUCGAACGAGACCUUCGGGUCUAGUGGCGCACGGGUGCGUAACGCGUGGGAACCUGCCUUUAGGUUUGGAAUAACUCAGAGAAAUUUGAGCUAAUACCGGAGGAUGUCUUCGGACCAAAGAUUUAUCGCCUUUAGAUGGGCCCGCGUUGGAUUAGCUAGUUGGUGGGGUAAAGGCCUACCAAGGCGUCGAUCCAUAGCUGGUCUGAGAGGAUGAUCAGCCACACUGGGACUGAGACACGGCCCAGACUCCUACGGGAGGCAGCAGUGGGGAAUAUUGGACAAUGGGCGAAAGCCUGAUCCAGCAAUGCCGCGUGAGUGAUGAAGGCCUUAAGGUUGUAAAGCUCUUUUACCCGAGAUGAUAAUGACGGUAUCGGGAGAAUAAGCUCCGGCUAACUCCGUG
rnacentral:rRNA from 1 species